CGCGUAGGCGGGCCUACAAGUCGGAUGUGAAAUCUUCGGGCUCAACCCGGAGCCUGCAUCCGAAACUGUAAGUCUUGAGUAUAGGAGAGGAAAGCGGAAUUCAAGGUGUAGCGGUGGAAUGCGUAGAUAUCUUGAAGAACACCAGUAGCGAAGGCGGCUUUCUGGCCUAAUACUGACGCUAAAGCGCGAAGGCUAGGGUAGCAAACA
rnacentral:rRNA from 1 species